rnacentral:rRNA from 1 species
GGAUACCCGAGGGAAACUUCGGUUAAUACGGUAUAAGACCACACUACCGCAUGGUAGAGGGGUAAAAGGGGCAACCUGGUAUGAGAUGGACUCGCGUCGCAUUAGCUAGUUGGUGAGGUAACGGCCCACCAAGGCGACGAUGCGUAGCCGACCUGAGAGGGUGAUCGGCCACAUUGGGACUGAGAUACGGCCCAGACUCCUACGGGAGGCAGCAGUGGGGAAUAUUGGGCAAUGGAGGAAACUCUGACCCAGCAAUGCCGCGUGAAUGAAGAAGGUCUUCGGAUUGUAAAGUUCUUUAGUCAGGGAAGAAGUCAAUGACGGUACCUGAAGAAUAAGCUCCGGCUAACUACGUGCCAGCAGCCGCGGUAAUACGUAGGGAGCAAGCGUUGUUCGGAAUGACUGGGCGUAAAGGGUGCGUAGGCGGUUGUACAAGUUAGAAGUGAAAUACCCAGGGCUUAACUCGGGUGCUGCUUCUAAAACUGUAUGACUUGAGUGCAGUAGAGGUUAGUGGAAUUCCUAGUGUAGCGGUGGAAUGCGUAGAUAUUAGGAGGAACACCAGAGGCGAAGGCGGCUAACUGGACUGCAACUGACGCUGAGGCACGAAAGUGUGGGGAGCAAACAGGAUUAGAUACCCUGGUAGUCCACACUGUAAACGAUGGAUACUAGAUGUAGGAGGUAUCGACUCCUUCUGCGUCGCAG